rnacentral:rRNA from 1 species
UACGUAGGGGGCUAGCGUUGUCCGGAAUCAUUGGGCGUAAAGAGCGUGUAGGCGGCCCGGUAAGUCCGCUGUGAAAGUCGGGGGCUCAACCCUCGAAUGCCGGUGGAUACUGUCGGGCUAGAGUGCGGAAGAGGCGAGUGGAAUUCCUGGUGUAGCGGUGAAAUGCGCAGAUAUCAGGAGGAACACCAAUGGCGAAGGCAGCUCGCUGGGACGUAACUGACGCUGAGACGCGAAAGCGUGGGGAGCAAACAGG